rnacentral:rRNA from 1 species
GGAGUUACAAAAGAAAGUUAUAAAUGAAGCGGUCUGGAAAGGCCCGCCAAAGACGGUAACAGCCCGGUAGUUGAAAUGGCUUUCCCUCCAGAGUGGAUCCUGAGUACGGCGGAACACGUGAAAUUCCGUCGGAAUCCGGGAGGACCAUCUCCCAAGGCUAAAUACUCCCUAGUGACCGAUAGUGAACCAGUACCGUGAGGGAAAGGUGAAAAGCACCCCGGAAGGGGAGUGAAACAGUUCCUGAAACCGUGUGCCUACAAGUAGUUAGAGCCCGUUAAUGGGUGAUAGCGUGCCUUUUGUAGAAUGAACCGGCGAGUUACGAUUUGUUGCAAGGUUAAGCGGAAAAAGCGGAGCCGUAGCGAAAGCGAGUCUGAAUAGGGCGCAUAAGUAACAGGUCGUAGACCCGAAACCAGGUGAUCUACCCAUGUCCAGGAUGAAGGUAAGGUAAUACUUACUGGAGGUCCGAACCCACGCACGUUGAAAAGUGCGGGGAUGAGGUGUGGGUAGCGGAGAAAUUCCAAUCGAACUUGGAGAUAGCUGGUUCUCUCCGAAAUAGCUUUAGGGCUAGCCUCGAGGUAAAGAGUCAUGGAGGUAGAGCACUGUUUGGACUAGGGGCCCUUCUCGGGUUACCGAAUUCAGAUAAACUCCGAAUGCCAUGUACUUAUACUCGGGAGUCAGACUGCGAGUGAUAAGAUCCGUAGUCGAAAGGGAAACAGCC